AAGCGACCAAGCGUACACGGUGGAUGCCCUGGCAGUCAGAGGCGAUGAAGGACGUGCUAAUCUGCGAAAAGCGCCGGUAAGGUGAUAUGAACCGUUAUAACCGGCGAUGUCCGAAUGGGGAAACCCAGUGUGACUCGUCACACUAUCAUUAACUGAAUCCAUAGGUUAAUGAGGCGAACCGGGGGAACUGAAACAUCUAAGUACCCCGAGGAAAAGAAAUCAACCGAGAUUCCCCCAGUAGCGGCGAGCGAACGGGGAGGAGCCCAGAGCCUGAAU
rnacentral:rRNA from 1 species